CACGAUAGAGAGUAGGAUAAGAGAUCUGUGCAAUAAAGUGAGUGCUCUUUUUUAUUAACGAGCCUGAAAUUUAAAGAAAAACUGAUUAGGAUUUCAGUGUACAGUGCAGCAGAUUGUCUUACACAUUCUGUCCUUAAGAUGGAGAGGAAUUAAACCUUUAAUUUCAUUGAUAUUUUUGCCCAUAACAGAGUAAAGUUGCUGACACACAGAGGUUCGGGAGAGCAAGUCGCCAUGAAAGUGAUAGACUUGGAGAAAAAUUCAGGUGCGCAAAGCAGCGUACAGAAAGAGGUGUUCAUCCACAGAAUGGUGAACCAUUCAAACAUCGUCCGGUUUUACGGACACCGCCACGACGGAAACCUCGAGUACAUCUUCCUCGAGUUUCUGUCAGGAGGAGACCUCUUUGACCGCAUAACUGGACAUGGGAAAGAAAUGGAAGGUGCAGUAGUCUUCAAGAGUUAUAAAAAAUAAUAUGGGGAUUGAUAGAACUGUCAGUAUUUUAACUGGCUAGUUGAACAGUUGAUAUAUUUGGUUUUGCUGUUAUUGCUGGCACGGAUGA